ensembl:snoRNA
AGCCAAUGAUGAGCUACUUUAAUUUCUGACACCUCGUAUGAGAACUGUAGCUGCAGUAUUUGAUUACAUCUUUUUUUGCUGAGGCUC